AGCUGCCCCCAAGGCUGUGCAGCUCUCCUGCUGCAGCCUGUGCCCACAGCUGUGUCCCUGGCUGUGCCCACAGCUGUGUCCCUGGCCGUGCCCAGGCUCUGGGCUCUCUGGCUGCCAGCUGAGCGAGGGCCACACUGGCUGAGGGCUCCCUGCUGUGCUCCCUGGGCAGGGGCUGAGCAGAUUGCAGGGCCGGCUCUGCUUCUGGCAGCCAGCAGCUCUUUCCUGCUCCAGGUGAACGGCUCAGGCGCCAUCCCGAGGGCACGGCGCUGCUGAUCCUGCUGCUGCUGCUGCUGCUGCUGGCUCUGCUGGUGGCCUUGGCUGUGCUGGCAGCACCGCAGGCUCCAGUGACAGCUGCCACUCCACAGUGUGUUCUGGGCUGUCCCCCUGGCUGGGUUGGCUUCAACGGGGUCUGCUACUACUUCUCAAGGGAUUACGGCACCUGGGAGCAGGGUCAGGAACGCUGCUCCGAGCUGAACGCCUCCCUGGCCAUUGCCAAGGAUGAGGGGGGCCAUGGAUUUGCUCUUCCGCCUCUGUGGGAACGGCGAUUACUGGCUCGGGCUGCGCAGACGGGGCCAGCGCCUGCACUGGGGGGACGGCAGCAGCUACAGCUCCCGGUGAGUGCCGGGGAGCCGGGCAGGGCCUGGCCGGACAGGGGCACAAGGUGUUCCCCUGGCAGCCAGCGCUGCCUCUGCUCCUCCCUGCAGGGUUCCUGUCUUUGGCGAUGCCGAGUGCGUGUACCUGGCUGAGAAUAAAUUCAGGAGUGUGAUGUGCUCAAUUGAGCAGCCGUAUGUCUGCAGCAAGGCCCAAGCUCCCCUGUGAUGGGGGCUGCAGAAAGGACCUUCUCCACGCUGGGCAGUGCCAGCUUCCCCUCUCAGCGCAGCCCAGGGCUGUUCUUCCUCAGCUGCACCCUGUGCCUUGCACUGCCUCUCAGGGUCACCUCAGUGCCUGUCCAUCCCCAGAGCCAGCGCUGGGCUGGGGCUGCAAAGGAAACGUCUCUGCAAUCCAUCCUGCCACCCAUGCUGCCUGCAGGGAGUGCAGUGCCCUCAUGACACAACCAGUGCAAAUGGGAAAUCCAAAUCGCCCUGGCCUCUUGGAAAUUAUCACAAAGUGGCCUGAGUGUGACACUCUUGCACUUUUCUCGAAGAGGAAGAGGAGCAGCUGACACGUGCUGAGCAGCA